AUAGUCAUCUUGUGUAUGAUAGGUAGGGUAUAGUUAUCUUGUGUAUGAUAGGUAGGGUAUAGUUAUCUUGUGUAUGAUAGGUAGGGUAUAGUUAUCUUGUGUAUGAUAGGUAGGGUAUAGUUAUCUUGUGUAUGAUAGGUAGGGUAUAGUUAUCUUGUGUAUGAUAGGUAGGGUAUAGUUAUCUUGUGUAUGAUAGGUAGGGUAUAGUUAUCUUGUGUAUGAUAGGUAGGGUAUAGUUAUCUUGUGUAUGAUAGGUAGGGUAUAGUUAUCUUGUGUAUGAUAGGUAGGGUAUAGUUAUCUUGUGUAUGAUAGGUAGGGUAUAGUUAUCUUGUGUAUGAUAGGUAGGGUAUAGUUA